ensembl:lncRNA
UAAGGGCUGGCACUGGAGCUGUGGGGCUUUAGAUGGAGAUCCCUGCCAACCUGAGCCUUUCUAAAGUAUUGGACCCUGUUCUGCUGCUCUUUGUGUCUAUGUGUAUCCUCCUGGGCCUAACGAAUCCUGGCUGCUAACAAGGAACCUUCCUGCUCUGAACACUGGCACACACCAUUCCAUAAUGAUGUGGUGGUAGCAAUGAACCACCAUAUUUAACGCUGCUUUGGUUCAGCCAAGCUAUAUUGGCAAAUUGCAGAGCAGAUAGAGAAGUGUGGACUGUGGCUGCACACCUGGAACUGUGUGAUUCCAAACACCCUACUGGGCAGCACAGCACAGCUUGACCCGCUCAUAGCAGUUCCUUGUGUGGGGCAGAGCUCUGUGCAGCCAGCCCUGGCUCUGCGGUUGUUCACUUAAGAGCAGUGCUCCUUUGUAUUCACACUUGUCCAUUUUAAAUUCAGAAUAACUGAAAUUAUUGCAUUUCCCACUGUGAGGUUUACUCUAAUUGAUUAAGCAAGUUCAGCACAGCCAUUGCUUACCACUAAUGUGUAACUUCUGCUUCCUAUUGCUGUGCUGAGAUCAGCAUGGAGCACAGGUGAACUGCAAACAUGAGCAUUGCUUGUAUUAAUGAAGACUGUUUGGAACUGGGUAACAUUGUCAUGGAUGUAAGAGUCAUAAAAGUCACAAACUUAAACAUCUCUGUGUACUUUCUGAUAUUCUGAAAAUGACAUUUACUUGUAGAAGGUCUGAGAAUUAAUAAAAUAGACAGCAGGGAGAAAGAGAUC